GACGAACGCUGGCGGCGUGCCUAAUACAUGCAAGUGGGACGCAAGGGAACACACUGUGCUUGCACACCGUGUUUUCUUGAGUCGCGAACGGGUGAGUAACGCGUAGGUAACCUGCCUAUUAGCGGGGGAUAACUAUUGGAAACGAUAGCUAAUACCGCAUAAUAUUAAUUAUUGCAUGAUAAUUGUUGAAAGAUGCAAGCGCAUCACUAGUAGAUGGACCUGCGUUGUACUAGCUAGUUGGUAAGGUAAGAGCUUACCAAGGCGACGAUACAUAGCCGACCUGAGAGGGUGGCCGGCCACACUGGGACUGAGACACGGCCCAGACUCCUACGGGAGGCAGCAGUAGGGAAUCUUCGGCAAUGGACGAAAGUCUGGCCGAGCAACGCCGCGUGAGUGAAGAAGGUUUUCGGAUCGUAAAGCUCUGUUGUAAGUCAAGAACGUGUGUGAGAGUGUU
rnacentral:rRNA from 1 species